GCGAGUGAAGCGGCAAAAGCUCAAAUUUGAAAUCUGACCUUUGGUCCGAGUUGUAAUUUGUAGAGGAUGUUUCGGGCAAGAUCCGGGCUUAAGUUCCUUGGAACAGGACGUCAUAGAGGGUGAGAAUCCCGUACGUGGUCCAGGGUCGCGCCCAUGUGAAACUCCUUCGACGAGUCGAGUUGUUUGGGAAUGCAGCUCAAAAUGGGUGGUAAAUUUCAUCUAAAGCUAAAUAUUGGCCAGAGACCGAUAGCGCACAAGUAGAGUGAUCGAAAGAUGAAAAGCACUUUGAAAAGAGAGUUAAACAGCAUGUGAAAUUGUUGAAAGGGAAGCGCUUGCGACCAGACUUGUUUGUAGGGUUCAGCCGUCGUUCUCGUCGGUGUAUUUCCCUAUCUACAGGCCAGCAUCAGUUCGGACGGAAGGUUAAAGGCCUUGGGAAUGUAGCAUCUUCCGGGAUGUCUUAUAGCCCUCGGUGUAAUGCUUCCUGCCCGGACUGAGGAACGCGCUUCGGCUCGGAUGCUGGCGUAAUGGUUCUAAGCGACCCGUCUUGAAACACGGACCAAGGAGUCUAACAUCUAUGCGAGUAUUUGGGUGUCAAACCCAUAUGCGUAAUGAAAGUGAACGGAGGUGGGAAUCUUCGGAUGCACCAUCGACCGAUCCUGAUGUCUUCGGAUGGAUUUGAGUAAGAGCAUAGCUGUUGGGACCCGAAAGAUGGUGAACUAUGCCUGAAUAGGGUGAAGCCAGAGGAAACUCUGGUGGAGGCUCGCAGCGGUUCUGACGUGCAAAUCGAUCGUCAAAUUUGGGCAUAGGGGCGAAAGACUAAUCGAACUAUCUGGUAGCUGGUUCCUGCCGAAGUUUCCCUCAGGAUAGCAGUAACGUUUUCAGUUUUAUGAGGUAAAGCGAAUGAUUAGAGGCCUUGGGGUUGAAACAACCUUAACCUAUUCUCAAACUUUAAAUAUGUAAGAAGCCCUUGUUGCUUAAUUGAACGUGGGCAUUUGAAUGUAUCGUUACUAGUGGGCCAUUUUUGGUAAGCAGAACUGGCGAUGCGGGAUGAACCGAACGUGAAGUUAAGGUGCCGGAAUAUACGCUCAUCAGACACCACAAAACGUGUUAAUUCAUCUGGACAGCCGGACGGUGGCCAUGGAAGUCGGAAUCCGCUAAGGAACGUGUAACAACGCACCGGCCGAAUGAAUUAGCCGUGAAAAUGGAUGGCGCUCAAGCGUAUUACCUAUACUUCGCCGUUAGGGUAGAAAUGAUGCCCUAACGAGUAGGCAGGCGUGGAGGUCCGUGACG
rnacentral:rRNA from 1 species